CAGCCGCCGCGGUAAUAUGUAGGUCCCGAGCGUUGUCCGGAUUUACUGGGCGUAAAGGGAGCGCAGGCGGUUUAGUAAGUCUGAAGUUAAAGGCAUUGGCUCAACCAAUGUAUGCUUUGGAAACUGUUAGACUUGAGUGCAGAAGGGGAGAGUGGAAUUCCAUGUGUAGCGGUGAAAUGCGUAGAUAUAUGGAGGAACACCGGUGGCGAAAGCACUCUGCUGGGCCGACACUGACACUGAGAGACGAAAGCUAGGGGAGCAAAUGGGAUUAGAUACCCGGGUAGUCCCUGUCUCUUAUACA
rnacentral:rRNA from 1 species